ACGACGCUGGCGGCGUGCCUAACACAUGCAAGUCGAACGAAGCUUGAUGAAGGAUUCCUUCGGGAUGAAUUCUGAUGUGACUGAGUGGCGGACGGGUGAGUAACGCGUGGGUAACCUGCCUCAUACAGGGGGAUAACAGUUAGAAAUGACUGCUAAUACCGCAUAAGCGCACAGUACCGCAUGGUACAGUGUGAAAAACUCCGGUGGUAUGAGAUGGACCCGCGUCUGAUUAGCUAGUUGGUGGGGUAACGGCCUACCAAGGCAACGAUCAGUAGCCGGCCUGAGAGGGUGAACGGCCACAUUGGGACUGAGACACGGCCCAAACUCCUACGGGAGGCAGCAGUGGGGAAUAUUGCACAAUGGGAGAAACCCUGAUGCAGCGACGCCGCGUGAGUGAAGAAGUAUUUCGGUAUGUAAAGCUCUAUCAGCAGGGAAGAAAAUGACGGUACCUGACUAAGAAGCACCGGCUAAAUACGUG
rnacentral:rRNA from 1 species